rnacentral:rRNA from 1 species
AUGGCCUUUCUUGUGCUGCUCAUCGUCGCGAGCUUCGCUGCCAGCGCGACGGCGGCCCUGGAGGCGGAGCCGGCGUGCUCGCCCUCCCUCUGCGGCGCCGUCGAGGUCCGGUACCCGUUUUGGCUGGACGGCGGCGGCGGCGGCAACGUUUGCGGGUACCCAAGCCUCAGGCUUGAGUGCCGCGGCGGCACGCCCGUGCUCCGGCUGCCCUCAGGCGACUACAGGGUACACCGAAUCAGCUACGGCGACAACGGCGACGACGGCACAUUCACUCUGCACGAUUCCAUCGUCCACAACAGCAGAUGCCCGCUCGUCGUCGGAAGGAAUCUGACUUUGCCCGAGGGCUCGCCGCCGCCGUUCUCCCUCACCGGCAACGACAUGAACGUGACAUUCUACCUCAGAUGCCCCUUCAACGCAUCUCCUUCGCACAUGGUGGCUUGCCUGGAGGAGGCCGAUGGCGUGCACCACACGCACGCGCGUUUCUGCUCCGGUGCUCCCCCGGGCUAA